ensembl:snoRNA
UGUGUGUGUGUGUGUGUUAAUUUAAUUUGCAACAAAGCCUUGCAAACAGGUACAAAGAGUAAAUCCUCUUUUGCAACCCAGAACUCAUAGCUGAAUAUGAGAUUUUUGGUGCAUGUAAGAGGGAAUAUG